rnacentral:rRNA from 1 species
UACAGAGGGUGCUAGCGUUGUUCGGAAUUACUGGGCAUAAAGCGCACGUAGGCGGUCCGUUAAGUCAUGUGUGAAAUCCCCCGGCUCAACCGGGGAAUUGCGCCUGAUACUGGCGGGCUAGAGAUCGAUAGGGGUGAGUGGAACUCCAGGUGGAGCGGUGAAAUGCGUAGAUAUCUGGAGGAACACCGGUGGCGAAAGCGGCUCACUGGAUCGAUACUGACGCUGAGGUGCGAAAGCUAGGGUAGCAAACGGG